rnacentral:piRNA from 1 species
UUGGAGCUCCAGUGAUAAGACACAGCAG